UACGGAGGGAGCUAGCGUUGUUCGGAAUUACUGGGCGUAAAGGGAGCGUAGGCGGACAUUUAAGUCAGGGGUGAAAUCCCAGAGCUCAACUCUGGAACUGCCUUUGAUACUGGAUGUCUUGAGUGUGAGAGAGGUAUGUGGAACUCCGAGUGUAGAGGUAGAAAUUCGUAGAUAGUUCGGAAGAACACCAGUGGCGAAGGCGACAUACUGGCUCAUUACUGACGCUGAGGCUCGAAAGCGUGGGGAGCAAACAGG
rnacentral:rRNA from 1 species